GCACUCUGCCAGAGGUGAACUCCACUGCACACGGGCGAACCCCUGAGGUGCACGCCACCCUUCCCUUUUCUGGUGAGCAUCGAUCUAUCCCACCUAUUCAUAGAAGAAGAUGUCCGCUGAGGGCGACAUGGACGGGGUUGCGUACGGCGGCACCCUUGGAUCGACGCUGGACCCGGACGAGGGAGAGGAGGAGCUGGCUUCCUAUCUUGUGCCGCGCUUGGCUACAUAUGCGCCGCCCACCUCACCGCUUUCGUCAUCGCUAGCGUCGCAGGUCGGCGAAGCCGACGGCGCCGCUGAAGAGGACCAUGCUCUACCCCUUUCAAGGCAGCUUGGCGGCAGCGGAAGUCAGGCGUGGGACAGCGGCGAGCGUUCAGCCGCACACGCCAUCGAGGACGACACAGUUGAGGGUGUCGCACUGCGUGCGAGUCACGGCCUGCCUAUGCAAUCUUCUGCCUCUCCCGAUGAAGAGGCACAGGCGAACGCCGGCAGUGGUCUAGACCCAUUUCUUACGGAAAUGGAUGCCGAGGAUGUCGACGACUGGCGCGAAGAGGACGAGCAUGACGCUGACGAAUACGACGAGGAAGAGGCUGACAACACCGAUGCCCCGCCACAGACGCGCUCGGGCACGCGCCGCCGUGGCGCGAGCGCCGUUCCCAACUACGUAAACGCCUUCGCGCACAGCCGUGUAAAGGAGCUGCUCAAGUACGAGGGCAGCUCCUCCAUCAUCUCAAAGGAUGCCAUAUCGGCGGUGUCUGAGGCGGUGGCGCUCCUGACGCGUGAUCUUGUAGCUAUGGCAGCGGGAGAAGCAACCAAGCGACAUCGCAAAACUGUCACCUAUGAGGAUAUCGCCCGCGUGGCGCAGUUGCUCGACCGCUUUUCUUUCUUGGCGGAGGUGUUGCCGCCAGUGGCCGCCUCUUCCUCCAACGCGCUCGGGGCUGGAAACUCGAUAGUGAUUGGCAGCAGCGCACACUCGGCCGCGAUCCCGGGCAGCAGUAGCGGCACGAGGCGACACGGAGACCCGUCCGUGCGCAGCCGAUCCGCGCACGGAUGCCCAGGGAGGAAUGCGCUGCAGAACCUCGGCGAAUCACCGCCGGCGUCGGCGCGGUCCAAGACGGCGCACGUGGGCGUCCUCGGUGCAGCCGCGCACCGAUCGGCUGUUCACCCGCAGCCCGGGGCUGGUUUGCGCCAGGCAACCCUGCGUUUUUGAAGAAGAGGGCGCACAAGACACCCGAAUGCCCGAGACGUCAUGAGCUGCUGCUGCGCUCCUCCUCCAUGUUUUUUAUGGAGAGGGGCUGAUGACAGAGAGGAAGCGAGGCGCAGACAGACAGAGACACACACACACACACACCAACAAAUAGAGCACCCUAGGGCGUUGCUCCGGAAGGUCCGCUCCCCUUCCGCGCUUCCGGCCUUCCCGUUCCUUACUCGUGCAUUAACGGGACUUUCCAGCUUUCGUUCACCCGGCGCGUGAUAGGAUGUCGUGCGUUCGAAUCUAAUUUUGCACUGCCAUAGAUGAUGCUUAUCGAAGUUGCAUUAUGCCGGAAGCGAAGGGCACGGAGAGGUGCUGAGGCUGCAACUAAGCUACAACUGCAACCAACAAGCAAACAAAAAGGAAAUGCGCAUCGUCUUUUCAUCGCCUAAAGCUGCUGAUGCUGCUGCUGCUGCCAGAAGAGGCCACGCGCUCACUUGUGCGCAGCAAAUGGGUAGUAGCCCUCUUCUGCCCCUCACCGACGCGAGUAAAACACAUGCUUUACUAGGCGAGGGGUGUUUGCACGACGUGCGCGGACUAAAAGGGAAGAGAUGGGCGGACGUGCGACAAGGGCUUUUAUGGCGUGCAAGUCGUGCUAGUCUUAUCUUACUAGACGUUGCCCACUUUUUCUCAUUCCCGUUGACUGUCACAUUUUUUUUCCCCCUUCUUCGUCUCGCCUUUCCACUGUGCGGCUUUGCUUCCCUUUCACGCGCUCACGCAAAAAAAAAAACUGACAACCCUGUGGACCUCUGAAUAAAACGCGUAACACCGCCCUCUCAUGCUUGUCUCGGUUGCUAG
rnacentral:misc_RNA from 1 species